GGCUAGAGAAAUGGCUCAGCAGUUAAAAGAGCACUGGCUGCUCUUUCAGAGGUCAGAGGUUCAAUUCUCAGCACCCACACUGCAGCUCACAAUCAUCUUUAACUCCAAUUCCAGGGGAUCCAAUGCCCUCUUCUGGAACCAGCAUCUUACAGAAGAAACAGGUGUCCUGCUGUUAGACCACAAAGCUGAAGAUAAUAAAAGCAUGGCAACAGUGGUGCUGCACCUCAAAAUUACCUCUCCAGCGCCGCUCUUCGUUUUUCUACAAACUCGGUGGACGAUGAAUCUUCUUUACCUACUUUGACCUUGGUCAUCCCUUUGAAGAAGUUGGAUGAGAUUCAUAAGAAUUUCAGAUCAUUAUUAACAGACCAUCAUAACAUCUUCAUACUUGAUAGUGAUGUCCCUAUGCUGGUAACUGGAAUCUUACUUAGAAUAAGCCAUUCUGAAGUAUUACAUCUUAUCAUGUGUUAAUAUCCCUAAUUAGUGAAUAAAUAUCUACAGCAGUAGAAUGUAAAUAAAGCACAAUAAGCUAUAUUUGUGGGUUUCAAACCCAUUCAGUAAAUUUAUACAAAAGCUUACAUAAAAAUAUCAGAAUUUGUGGUA